CUACGGGUCGCACCAGUGGGGAAUAUUGCACAAUGGGCGAAAGCCUGAUGCAGCGACGCCGCGUGAGGGAUGACGGCCUUCGGGUUGUAAACCUCUUUCAGCAGGGAAGAAGCGAAAGUGACGGUACCUGCAGAAGAAGCACCGGCUAACUACGUGCCAGCAGCCGCGGUAAUACGUAGGGUGCAAGCGUUGUCCGGAUUUAUUGGGCGUAAAGAGCUCGUAGGCGGUUAGUCACGUCGGAUGUGAAAUCCCAAGGCUUAACCUUGGGUCUGCAUUCGAUACGGGCUGACUAGAGUGUUGUAGGGGAGACUGGAACUCCUGGUGUAGCGGUGAAAUGCGCAGAUAUCAGGAAGAACACCGGUGGCGAAGGCGGGUCUCUGGGCAACUACUGACGCUGAGGAGCGAAAGCGUGGGGAGCAAACAGGAUUAGAUACCCGGGUAGUC
rnacentral:rRNA from 1 species